rnacentral:misc_RNA from 1 species
UCUCUCUCUCUCUCUCUUGAAAAUCAGUUCUUUAUUUUGUUUUCCUGUUAAAAAUCUAGAAGCAGGUAUUUUACCUCUUCACAAAGAAAUUUACUUUUGUGUGUCUGUGUGAAUAACCCCUUGUCAAACAUUCUAAUGCAAAUAGCCAGAAAGAAAGUUGUGCAUAUUUUUUUGGCAAAGUUUCUUUUGCUACUCAACCAUCUGCAUUUCUUGUUACUUGGUAACAUGGGUUCUGAAAGUCAAAAGGAUUUACUGCAUAUUCGGCUGUUUUACAUUCUAAUAAAUGCUGUAAUUUGGAAAGCAUCCUUGCCGUGAUUCAUCAGCAUAGAUUCGAACUUUGACAACUAUUCACUCAUUCUGUUGCUUACUUUGAGAAAUGAAUCUACAGGUUACAGGAAGGAGAGAUAGAGCCAAGCCUUUAACAUUUAAGUUGGAAACUAUUGGCCCUUGGGGCUUUGCUGGAGCUAAUGAUGGAAAUCCACGUAUCAGUACUAAGUUUGUUGCACCUUGUUACUACAUGAAUAAAGUAGAGAUAGACGCAAAACUUCCUAUAGUUGGUGAUCAGAAAUGGAAAAUAUGGAUUUGUUCCUUCAACGUGCCAAUGGCACCUGGGAAGACACGUUCAAUUGUUUGUAGCGCUCGAAACUUCUUCCAAUUAACAAUGCCAGGGCCUGCUUGGUGGCAGGUGGUUCCCAGAUGGCACGAACACUGGACUUCAAAUAAGGUGUAUGACGGGGAUAUGAUUGUUCUUCAAGGUCAAGAAAAAGUCUUUCUUUCAAAGUCGAAAGAAAAUGGUACUGAUGUCAACAAAGAGUAUACAAAACUCACAUUUACACCUACUCAAGCUGAUCGUUUCGUCUUGGCAUUCCGAAAUUGGCUUAGACGGCAUGGCAAUAGUCAACCUGAAUGGUUUGGUAGCACAGACAACCAACCACUGCCAUCUACUGUCUUAUCCAAACGCCAGAUGAUGGACAGAUUCGAACAACAUACACUCAAAUGUUCAUCUUGCAAAAAGGCUUACUACACAUUCGAGAAGUUACAAAAGUUACUGAUUGGCUCAGUAGUGGUAUGCUGUGCAUCUGCAGGCAUCCCUGCAGAUGUUAACCUACGAAUUAUAUUGGGUUCAUUAGCAAUUAUAAGUGCUGGAUUAGCAUACAUUCUACACGAAUUACAGAAAAAUUUCAUCUUUGUUGAUUAUGUACAUGCUGAAAUUGACUAAACAUAUCAUCUAAGAACUUUC